rnacentral:rRNA from 1 species
ACGAGAGGACCGGGUCGGACGGACCACUGGUUUACCGGUUGUGGCGCCAGCUGCACCGCCGGGUAUCCAAGUCCGGUCAGGAUAAGCGCUGAAAGCAUCUAAGCGCGAAGCCGUCUCCGGGAUGAGACAUCACAGGGCCGUGGGAGACUACCACGUAGAUAGGCAGGAGGUGUAAAGGCGGAGACGUCAAAGCCGACCUGUACUAAUAGCCCGGGAACUUCGGAGU